GCCCCUCAACCACCCCCACCCCGGGCCUUGUCCGCGCCGCGGCCCGCAGAAACCCUAGUCCGGCGCCUCGGGCCUGGGGACGAGAAGAUGAGGGCGUGCCGAUGCGCCGAGCCCCCCGCUCCAUCUGCAGAAGCGGCAGAGAGAGGGAGUGGACGAAGCGCGGUGCCGCGGCCGCUGGGGCCGAGGAAGGCGAAGGGGGCGGUGGACUCAGGUGUAGGUUCGAUGCCUCGGGUCGCUGAGGGGAGUCUGCCCUGGACUGUACAGCCGAGGUCACGUUAAGGGAGCUGAGGGCACGGCCCACUGCAGAUGCCGCGCGUGUGGGCACGGCAAAAGCGGCCCCUUCUCCCAGGAUAGAAACGGAUCAACGGAAGCGCGUGUGAGUGUGGGGGUGCGAAUCGCCACCUCCAGCCUUGGCUUUCCCGCUCUUCCGAGCCCUCAAAAUUCCUUCCUCUUCCGGAAAUGCCUGUCCUUUUCUUUCACACUUAAUGUUCCCUCGGCUUUAGCCUGGCCAUCACUGGCAUGGAAUCUCCGGGGCCUCUUCCUUAGGUCUUCACCCCAGGUACGUUUUCUCUACCAAAAAUUUCUCUUGUUAUUCUGUGAGUUUAUUAACGAUGCAUGUUCUUCUUACGGCAUUUUAUUUUGUUUUACUAUUAUAAGAGUAAUAACAUGAACCCAGCAUAUCUUGGUAUUUAGCUAUGAACCAAAUCUCCCAUCCACCCAAUCCACCACCACUAACUACCACCAUCAAUCAUUCAUUCAACAGUAUUUACCAGAUUCCCACUAUAUCUUAGGAACCAUGCCAGGAAUUGCAUAAGAUAAGAAAGAAUGGGUUUAAAAACAAAACAAAAACAAACUCAUAGAAGCAGACAAUAUAUUGGUGGUUACCAGAGGGGAAAGGAGGUGGCAGGAGAGUAAAAUGGGUAAAAGAGAUCAAUUACAUGGUGACAGAUGGAAACUAGACUUUAGGUGGUAAGCACGCUGUAGUAUAUACAUUGAAUUACAAUGUUGUAUACCUGAAAUCUAUACAAUGCUAUAAACCAAUGUUACCUCAAUAAAUAAAAAAAUAAAUAAAUAAGAAGGAAUAGG
rnacentral:lncRNA from 1 species